AGGAGCACGUUUCGGCCACGUUUUUGUACGGCGGGCGGCACAGAAGUGCAUUGUGUUGGGACCGGAGUAGGGAGGGAGGAGGAGGAGGGUGCUGGAGGAGCACAGCUGCACGGCGCACAAGAGCCGGCUUCUCAGCCUGACAGGCAGGCAAGCAGCGAGAGGGAGAGAGCGAAACGAGGGCUCUUCCGCCGCUCUCUUGGGGGGGCCCCUCCGUCCAGCAGUCCCCCCCCACCAACCCCACAACCUCCCCACUCCUCCGCGCUACAGCAGCUCCGUCCGGGAUUUUUAUUUAUUUAUUUAUUUAUUUAUUUAUUUAUUUUAAAAUCAAAGCACCGAAAUGUGGAAUGGGCGCGGACGAGUGAAAGGAUUCUGUUCCCUUCUUCUGUGGCUGGCUACUCAAAUUCAGUACAUGGGUGGAGCAGCAUCUGUUAAUGCAAUCCAGGAGUGCUGACAUCAAGCCAGGAGUAGAAAGUCAAGGAACUGGCUUGUGCAGUCUGCAGGUAAAACCUUUUGUUCUGUCUUUCACUGUAAAUCUCUCUGUAAACAUACAAGCUGACCAUUUACUUUCUAUUUUCUGCAACCUGUCAACAGUUUGGACACUCCUACGUAUAGAAAGCUUUUCCUUAUUUUUGCCACAUUGUAGAAAAACAGUGAACACAUAAAAACUGUGAAAUAAUGUGUGUCAAGGUAUGUCGUGAUAAAUCCAAAGCACAUUCUGUUUUACAUUCUUUUAGAAAGUAGCCCCUUUUUGCCUUGAUGCAACUUAAUGCACUCUUGCUGUUCUCUCAAGCAGCUUCAGGAGGAGCCAUUUGAAAUACUUUUACAACAAUACUGAAGAAGACCUUGAGGCCUUGAUGUUGCUGGAAACCACUUGUGGGCAUUUAAAAAGCCAAAUAAUUUUUUUUUUUUUGUUUCGGAAGUCAUAUAUAGGCAUUAACUUUACUGUUUCUGUUCGUCUUAGAAAGAAAUUUCGUUUGCAUGUUCAGUCAAAGUACUCUGCGAAAGUCAGAGAUCACUUUUCAUUGAUUUAAUUUCUAGUCAGAGCACUCGGUACGUACAAGUUACUCAUUUUUCA